UACGUAGGGGGGCAAGCGUUUGUCCGGAUUAUUGGGCGUAAAGAGCGUGUAGGCGGUUCAGUAAGUCUGCUGUGAAAGUCCAAGGCUCAACCUUGGGAUGCCGGUGGAUACUGCUGAGCUAGAGUACGGAAGAGGCGAGUGGAAUUCCCGGUGUAGCGGUGAAUGCGCAGAUAUCGGGAGGAACACCUAUGCGAAGGCAGCUCGCUGGGACGUCACUGACGCUGAGACGCGAAAGCGUGGGGAGCAAACAGG
rnacentral:rRNA from 1 species